rnacentral:lncRNA from 1 species
AGCCACUGUUUCUAAUGAGACUGCUUUACCCUGCAGGAGUUUGUUUGGAAGAGGAGGAGGAGGAAGGUGGCAGCUUGCCAUCUGUGUUUCUCAAAUAAGCAGAGUUUAGAGAAAGAAGAAUCCCUCCAAGGAUUUGAUUUAGCUUGCCUGGGCAUCUGAUGGAACAGAUCUGUGAAUGAAGACUUGUGAAGCUGAAAUGGAUGAAAAAUGCACACAUCUAUCCCUAACUGCAUCUUUCCUUGACUGCGGCCAUCUGAUGUACCAUUCAGGUGCUCAUAAAGAGGUCAGAGAUCUCCUGCCUGCCACCAUGUUCAACCUAAAACAAGGUAUGCAACCAGACUUGCUUUUCAAAGAUGGUCUGGCAUGCUCUUCCUGUUCAUAGCAAGAUU